UCUUGGAUGGGGCCAUGGCUGGGGUGAUGGAUGCUUUACUUGGAGCCGGAGCACUCGUUGCUCCUCCGGAGCUCAACAACUCGCCCAUGGAACGGUGAGGUCCCACCUUAUUCGCCUCACAUAGGUUGGGUAGGAAAACACCUUCUCCGGCAGCAAGGUUGAAGUAAAGGUCGACGAUGUUUGGGCAGUUGUGGUAGCAUUGUGGGGAGCAAAGCAUGGAUGCGAAUUGGGGUUCGAGGAGUGAGUCUGAAGAGAUACCGACCAUGUUA
rnacentral:lncRNA from 1 species